rnacentral:sRNA from 1 species
CACACUGGGAAAAUUUCCCCUAGACGAUGCCAGUGAGAGGCAGGUGAAACAAUAGUAACCAUUUGUAGUUACUUCUCUCUCCAAGCUUACUUCUGGAUCACUACUGGAGAUGUAACAUUUGUGUCUAUCUUUCUUCAGGAAGUUGUCAGGUUCCUCGACACCAAGCAUCCAAACCACUAUCAAGUCUACAAUCUAUGCAGUGAGAGAUCUUAUGACCCUAAGCGCUUCCACUACAGGGUCCGCAGAAUCAUGAUUGAUGAUCAUAACGUACCUACCCUCGAGGAAAUGUUGUUGUUCUCCAAGGAAGUAAAUGAUUGGAUGGCCCAAGAUCCUGAAAAUGUUGUAGCAAUUCACUGUAAGGGAGGAAAAGGUA